rnacentral:rRNA from 1 species
GACGAACGCUGGCGGCGUGCUUAACACAUGCAAGUCGAACGGAAAGGCCCUGCUUUUGUGGGGUGCUCGAGUGGCGAACGGGUGAGUAACACGUGAGUAACCUGCCCUUGACUUUGGGAUAACUUCAGGAAACUGGGGCUACUACCGGAUAGGAUCUCCUGCUGCAUGGUGGGGGUUGGAAAGUUUCGGCGGUUGGGGAUGGACUCGCGGCUUAUCAGCUUGUUGGUGGGGUAGUGGCUUACCAAGGCUUUGACGGGUAGCCGGCCUGAGAGGGUGACCGGCCACAUUGGGACUGAGAUACGGCCCAGACUCCUACGGGAGGCAGCAGUGGGGAAUAUUGCACAAUGGGCGGAAGCCUGAUGAAGCAACGCCGCGUGCGGGAUGACGGCCUUCGGGUUGUAAACCGCUUUCGCCUGUGACGAAGCGUGAGUGACGGUAAUGGGUAAAGAAGCACCGGCUAACUACGUG